GUGUCCCUCCUGCCAUGGCAUUUGCUUUGUUAAAGCCUGGUGGGGAGCUUUGAGAGUUAAUGCAGCAAAGCCAGCGUUCAAACACACUAACUGUGGCCAUCGGGUUGGUGUUUUCUCCACAACGGUGGCCCGGCUGCCCUGGCUGGGGUGGCAAUGGGGAAGUGAAGUCCCAGCUGGACACAAUCCAGGGUCCAAAUUAGCAUGGAUUUGUCAGGGGCAGACUUUCACCUGGCUCAGGAGCCUUGUCCUGGGCUGCAGCCAGCUCUUCCCACAGGUGGUGGGGGGGAGGAGCACCCCAACAGCGUGAUGGAAAGGAUGGCUGUGCUCAUGGGGUGCUGGGCUGGCUCCGCUGCACCGUGAGACAGUGCUCAGGAGGGGGCACUUUUUAAAGGUUUUGAAGUCAUACCUGGUUUAGCUUCCCAAACCCAAACCAACGCUCCCCAGCGAAUCCACACCAUCCCUGCCCUGUGCCUGUGGGCACCUCACCGGCACGUGAGCCUCGGGCCAAGCUGCGGCUUUAUGUGACUUAUUUCUAGCCAUGGGGUGAUGCAUUUCCAUUUGCCCCCUCCAGGCAGGAGCCUGUGCUCUCUCCUGAGUAAACAAGAGCAGCAUAAAGCAGCAAGUGCAGCAGAGCGGGUGCUUCUGUAGCAAUCUUGCUGCUGGAGGGAUUGCUCUUUUCCAUUUCUCUCUGCAAAAAUUUCCAUCACCUACAGUCUUUUAUUAUUUUGCACACAAGAAAUCACAACAUGAUUGCUACACCUGCAGAAGACCAGCUCUCAAAGGCUACCAAGUGUCCAAAGCUGUGUGUUCAGCCGUAAUUCUCUUCCUUCGCGCAUGUGUGUGAUGAAGAAUGUUUUAAUUACAUGAACACAUGCAAUGUUUUUCCCACAAAACCCCCUCCUCAAAUCUCACUCCCUGACCACCUGGGCCCCCGGUCUGGCUGGCUGCAAUCUCUCCUCAGCUCCUCAUCUAGUGGCCGUGCUCCUCUCCAGCUCCCUCCCUCCCCUGGAUGCCUUUCCCCGACCUCUCCCCGCAGGGCCGGAGAUACAGGGGGCCCUGCCUGCGCUGGAGCAAACUCUCCCUGGCAACAGGAGGCAGCUGGCAACCAAAGCAAAACUCCAGUCUCUGAAGAAUUCCCUUAUUAAAGAUUACCCAGCUCCCUUGCUGCUCCAAGAUGUCUCUUAGGAACUGCUCAAUUCACUCAGAAGAGAAAGAACACCACAGAUUUGGGCAGCAUCAUCUCUUGCUUACCAGUGGGGUUUCAAUGGUUGCCUGGACGGAGUUGCCUCCAGAACUGCACAACUCAGAUUACCAUCCAGCUACUUCUAGGUUGUCAUCAAAUGGGUCACAGACACUUCUGUGCCAGACUGGGUUUACGCAGCUAAUGCAGAGAGGCUCCACAGCUCAGUGCCAUUUCUACCCGAUGGUACACCUGCACCAACUCUGGCCUAACAUGAAUGCCAAGAGCUGAAUUUGGAUCUGCUGGCUAAGGCUUUGAUAUAAUAUUUACUGUGCAAUAAAUCUUCUCUGAUAUAAACUGAAUGAAAAUAUUCUGCCUGGCUGAGUGUAAGAGGACAUAUUCUCUGCACAAACUGUGUUAAGCUUUGACUUAGAGUCUAAUAGCUCUUAAUGUCUCUCCUAAGCUUUCCUGUUGGAUGUUUGCAUCAU